CAGGGUGGUCUCAAACUCCUGACCUCAGGUGAUCCACCUGCCAUGGCCUCCUAAAGUGCUGAGAUUACAGGCAUGAGCCACCGCACCCAGCCUGAUUUUUUCUUUUUACUGACACAAAGUCCAGGCCAAGCCAGAACUAUUGACUAAAUGCUGUGGUACUCUUCCUGGCUCAUGAGAAUGGCAGUAAUUCUAACUGAUGCAAUGUGGUUUGACUCUCUAGGCAAAAGUAAUCCUAUUUUCUUUAAUUUUUUAUGUGUUUUGGGGCAGUUGUUAAGUGAACAAUAAAGUUUAGGAUGUGUUCCUCACUGUGGAAAGACUGUUUUGAUUGUCUCAAAGUUUCCCUCUAGCUCUGACAUUUAAGAAAUCAGUAUCAUUCUGCCAAAGAAAGCCUAUUAUGGCCACAGAAGCACUAAGAUAGUAAUGAUCCCCUGAGUGACUCAUGGAAUUCCCAGUGGUCCACUAUGAAUGGACAUUUUACGGAUGCAGAGACUGUGGCAUCUUAAAAUGUCAUAGCUGGAAGACUGUCAAUCAUUAUCUGUUACCAGUGCAUCAAGGACCCUGGGACCUGAAGCCUAAUGGUAUCCAGUCACUGAAUUCUUCAACAGAGAUUUAUUGUUAUUGUUCUCAUGCCAUGUGCCAAGCAUUGUACUAGGUCCCGAGGUGCAGUAAUAAAUAAGGUAGAUGAGGUACCUGACUUCACAUAUACUAGUGUGGUAAAAUGCAUGAUAACAAGGAAACUAUAAUAAGAAAGAUAAUAAAGUCUGUAAUAAUUGCUUAAAAGAUAUAAAUAAUGUCGUGGAUUUAUUCACUGUGUUCAACGGACAGUGAAUAACUUGUGGGGAGGGAGAUGACGACAGAAGUGGCUCCUGAGACAAAAUCUGAAUCUUGAGAGGAAACCAACUGUGGAAAGCAGGGUUUAAAAAAAAGAUAGGCAGAGAAAAUGAGAUGUGCAAAGUCCCAGAGGCAAGAAAGAGCUUGGUAUAGUUAAGGAGUGGACAGGCAGCCGAUCUGGCUAUAAUUAAAUAGAAGAAAAUUAGUAUGAGGAGUGGCUGGAGGAGUUGGCUUGGGCCAGAAUAACCUCAUAGGCCCUAGUAAGGAGCUUUGGUUUCAUUCCAAGAGUGGGAAGACUUUGAAGGUUUUUCUGCAGUUAAGAGACAUGAUCUGGUCUACAUUUCUUAAAGAUACCUCUGAGUGCAGUGAGGAAAAUGAUUUGUAGGAGAGAGAAUGAGGCUAUUGCAAUAGUCCAGACCAAAUAUAUAUGCAUACACACACAAACGCACACACACACAUACAUACACACACACACACAAAAAUUGAAACAAGUGGAACUGGAAAGAAGUAGAGAAGUUUGAGAUAUGUUUAGAAAGUAGAGCCUGUAAGACAUGCUGAUCACUUGCAUAUAUGAACUGAGGGAACUAAAGGAAUAAAAAAUGACUUCUAGAUUUUUGAGCAAUUGGAUGAAUGGAUGUAUUGUUACUGACGUAAUGAACCUUAGAGGUGGGUGGGAUCAGAAAGAUCUAUUUGCCUUAAAGGGAAAUGGGGAGUGGACAGGUAUGUUGGCAGCAUAAGAACUGGAAUAAUAGCACAUAGCAUCCAUGCCUUUAAAAGAAUAUGAAACUUUGAAUUUCAAGCAAUGGUAUUCAUUAGGUAUGACUUUGCCCCUAAGGGAAGUAGACCCCAGGGGUGUUGCUAAACAUCCUCCAAUGCACAACACAGCUCCCACAACAGAGUUAUCUGGCCAAAAAAUGCCAAUGUGGCUGAGGUUGGGAAUCCCUACCUUGCAGGAUGUCUUUUUGGCAUUUAUGCAAAUGAAGUCCCAGACAAAAUGAUCCUUGAAGGUGUCACUGCAGAUAGAAUGUGAGGAAGGGGCCUGGAUUAGCCUCUGUGGCAGAGGCUGGUGAGAGCUGGUAAGUUAUGGGGUUUGCAGAGUUUUUCUGUGAGUGGAACAGUCUCUAGGAGAGGGUCUGAACCCUCUGGGGCCUUGGAAAGAACAGAACAUUGAUUCAAUCCAAUUAGGAAGCCCUGGAUGCAGUGGGAGAUGAGUUGGAUAUGCCAUCUAGUGAGAACUAAGCAAGAGGAUUGAUGGCUGUGAGCUUGGGCAAAAUCAGGGAUUUUCAGGGGAAAAAAAGGAGACUGGGAAUCCUAAGGGACAUGAGGAGAGGGAAUGGGAACUCCUCUUUGAAUCCAGGCUUGUUGGGGCAGGUUUUCAAACUAGAGGUCAUUUAGAGUCUAUUAGUUCUCAUGACUACUUGCACAGUAAAAUCACCUGGAAAGAUUUUAAAGGUACUAAUACUGUAGCUGGGCCCCCACCCAGAGACUGUGAUUGAAUUAGUCUGGCCCCAGCACUGGAAUUUUAAAAGGUACUCCAGGUAUUCUGGGUUGAGAACUACCCUUCAAAGCAUUAUACACUCUGAUGCCUAUGGGGCCAGAGAAGUAAAAGAAAAAAGGACAGGGUAGGCCCUGCCCGAGUGGGCAGCCGCUGCCCAACCAUUGCCCGCUCUUGCCUUAUGGAAAUCUGGGCUGUGUUGCCAAAUCUUCCUGUCCUCUUUUUUUUUUUUUUUUUUUUUUUUUGAGAAACCUAAAAUCCAGAUUUUUAAAAUGUUGGCUCUAAAGAUUUUAAAACUCCAUGCCAAACAAAACAUGUCUGCAGAGUACAUGUUGGGCCUCUGGGCUGUCAUCUAGCAACCUCUGACCCAGCCCAGUGGUUUUCACACUUUUUUUAUAACCACAAGAGGUUUUCUCCAAACAACUUGUUUUGUUGAACUGUUAUAAAUUAGAUAAACUUAAGGGGAACCUUGCUUUAGAGCAGGACAGACACUCAGCCUCUCCUUCCAGCCCAGGGCAGUUCUUAAUGCUGCUCCUGAGACUCUCUGGUUCUGGGGAACCUCUCUGGUCCAGUUACCAGAUGAGAAAACUGAAGCCUUCAUUAUUCAGUCCUGGAGCAGAACCUGCCCCAUGGGCCACUUAGAAAUAGAUGUGGGGAUAUUUGGAGUUGUCACAAUGACAAAGUUGGCACUACCUGGCACUCAGUGGCUGGGAACCAGGAAUACUAAACUUCCUGCAAUGUCCAAGACAAUAAAGAAUUACCUUACACAAAAUGCCAAUCACUCCCUGCUGGGAAACACCAGAUGUGGAAGUGGAGACCCAAAAGAGGGAACAUCAUCUGGCACCAUCAUGGCAAGUACACCCUAGAACUUUGGCCUCCACCCCAAAGGCUUAAUUAAGGACUUUCAUCUGCACCCAUAAGGACGGGUCACUGGCAGAGCUGAGUUGGCCAUACUCCAAAACACAGUAGAAAAAGAGAUGUUUUUAAAUUAAACCCAAGUAGCCUCUUGAGGUGGGACAGCCAUUAUGUUAAAAAGCCAAGUGCUAGGUUUUGAGAAGCAACUUGAGAGGAAAUGGGGACUGCAAUACCCUCAGCCUGGGCCGGGGGCCAGUGGCUGGUACUGGGAGGGGGCAGAUGAGCUGAAGCAAGGAGCAGAGGUGCUGGAACAUGCUGGAGUCAGGGCAGUUGCACAGGUUUGUUGGCUCCAUGGGUCAUUUAAUCCCUAGGCCAAAAGAUGCCAGGUUCAAAAAUAGGAUGUAGGAGCAAAAGGUGAAAGGAGGGUGUCCCCAGCACUCCAAGGAAAUAGAGCCAAAAGAAAAAUCAUCUUCCUAUUUUUGUCAUCACAAUGCCACACAUUGUACAGUUUCACUGUUUGUAAAACCAUUACAACAUGAUCACCUUCUCAAGGACCGCCAGGCAAGGGGAGAGGUAUCCCUAUUUUACAGGCAAAGAAAUGGAGCCUCAGAUUCAUGCUUACCUGGCACCUCCCCUUUCAAGAUCUGAGUUUAUUUGUUCAUGCUUACUUUCAGCAUCCACAUGACAAAAGUCAAGGCAGGGAUUCCUAUUCUCAGUGUGUAGAUUAGACUAGGAAUUCCCAAGCUUUGGUAGGCAUCAGAGUCACCCGGGAAACUUGGUAAAAACACAGCAGGCCAGAUCCGACUGGAAGAAAGGAGCCUGGGUCUCCCACAUGCUAUCAGCACUCACUCCAGGUGAUUUUGAUCAUCGCCAAUACCCCAACGGGUCUAACCCAGGUCAAUAAGACAAGACCAUUUACAGAGUGCUUGGAUGCCACAGCAAUGUCAAAUUCCUACAUAGGUCUAAAUGUUUCUCCUCUCAGUGAUGGAGCUGAGACAAUAUCCAGUGAUAUGCUAGUUAGCCAGCUCUCCAUGAGGGAGGAUCCCUGACUUGUAGUGUCUGUCUAUUUUUAUGGUGUGAAUACUGAUGUCAUGGCCAGUUUCAAAGUACUGAGGUGACACCACUGAACAUGGAGUCAAGAAGAGGUGUACAUGCCCAGUUCUUUUGAGGCAGUCUGAACCAGCUUCAGCACACAUCUUUUGUGUCUUAUCUCCAAAGAUGGUGAUCUUUCUCCUAAAAUAUCCAGAGCUGGGAUGUGGGACAGGCUGAUGACAGUAACAAGAAGUGCGUGUUCUAUAACAUCAUUUUCAGGGGACAAGAACAUCCAUUACUGCUAUUCACCAUUAUCUUUGAAAAGCAAUAGACGUAAUUUUGAAUUUCAACUUUGUGACUAUUGACUGUGUGAUGAAUGAGUCUCAAACCUCUCUGGGCAUCCUAUUUCCCAUACUUAAACUAGAAAUAAUAAUACAUUCCUCAAAGAAAAACCAUAAAGGCCCAAGGAUGUGAUACCUGUAAAACAAGUAAGACAGUGCUUGACAACGGGUUGUACACAAUAAAGGUUAGGGCCGUUCUCUUCCUCUCCCACAUCCUUCACAUUUUGAAACCUAGAAAGUACCACGUAACUCUUCCCAUCUAGAUGCCUUGCUAGAUCUCCCACAUGCUUCCCAUCUAGAUGCCUUGCUGAUUCUAGAUGACUUCUUGAAUCAGAGACUCAAUAAGGGCAAGUGCUUUGCUCAACAAAUCAUAGGCAGCUGGUAUGGAAGCCACCCUACAUGAAAAAGAAUUGUCACUAGGUUAUAGUUUUCUUUCUGCAGAUCAACCUGGGAGCCAAGCUGUGGAAAUUUCUGUAUGUGUGCUUUGGAAUGAUUUUGUCACGGUCACUAUUCUUGCAAAAGUUUUGAUAGAGAUGUCCGGAGGCAUUUUGCCUUAACAGGUUGGGCUUUGGAAUUGGGCUUGUCCUGCAGCAGGUUGCUUGCACCGUUCCGUCACAGAUUACGGAAACAUUUCAAGUUAUGGAUUGUGUCUCUGCAUCCUCUUCCCCUCACAUCAGCUAAUGCGUUUUUCAUUUCUCUUGGCUGGCUCAAUUUCCCACAUGUUCUCCCAAGCUCUUCCUCUUCGCUCCCCAGGGCUUCCCACAACAAACCUGCGUGCUUUGGCGUCUUAGUAGGAGGGGCUGCUGAAAUUCAUACCGGAUAUGUCUUUGGCUGUGUUUAUCAGCCCCAGCCCAGGCUCCCUUGGCUGAAGGUGGCUGAAACAGAGGGCUUUGACCAUUCAGGCGGCCCCAGCCUGCCUGCACCCUAUCCCUGAAAGCAACCGGCCCAUUCGGCCUGAGGGGAUGGACUCUUCCAGCUCUGCUGUCUGUUCAAGAAUGCCUGGGCAAAGACCUUCCCUUCUAUACAUCAGUUUCCUUAUCUGUGAAAACAACAACAAUAAUAGUAUCUUUGUUUUAUGUGACCCAUUUUGCUCUUCAUAAUAGUGCCUUUACCGAUAGCUUCCUGUUUAAUCUCCACUACAGCCUGUGAAGUAGGGGACACUACGACAGGUCGGUAACGUGCAGAGCUGGGACAGCAGCCCAGGUCUGCUCACACCAAGAGUGAACAGGAAAUUUUGCCCUACCCAUUGCUGUCUGUUUCAUUUAAAUGAGGAGGAUGGGCUGUGUCUCUAUUUUGCUGUGUAGAACCUGCUUCGUUUCCUUGCCUCCUGGUCUUCACUCCUAUCUUUCCCUCUCUUCCUAUGAAAGUAACUUUGCUCUCUGACAGCCGGGGCAGGGUACCUGGGCACACACAGUGUAUGUGUGAGCCUCACGGAGCAGAGGGCUGAUUAGAAGGCAUUCACUCUUUAAACUCCCCAUCUGAAUUCCUGGUUAGGAGAGGCAACAGAAAUUUUCCUGCUCUUUUCUGUUCAUUUUUCCUUCAUCUGUGUAUUUGCGCCUUGCUACUCAGUACUCCUUUUGGGCAUGGGAUGUAUGCAUUUCAUGUGUUCUUGUUUUCUUUCUUUCCCAUUCCUUUCUUCCCCAAACACAGGCGGAACAAAAUGUGUUUGAAUAAUUCAACAGUUCCACAGACAUCUAGGCUGGACAGGGACCACAGAGAGAACUUGCUUGUCCCAUUUAACUGUUGCUUAGGAAUGUAAUGAGGUGAGCACUUAGAAUCUAGAAAACAUUUUAGGAGAGGUGGUUUCCUAAUGUAUCCUGAAUGUCCUACUCUGUACCCUACUGUCUCCAUCAAUCAAAGCCUUCGCUGUAUCUCUAGUUGGAAUUAACUUCUCUUUUCUAAAUGCAAACCCGUCUUGCAUCUCAGCGACCAUGAUCCUGUUAAGCCCUUCUCUUGUCGCUGACCUGGUUUUCUUGAUUUGUAAAUUCUUUUAUUGUAAAGACCAAGUUUUAAUCUUAUUUUUUGUGUGUUCACCAUUGCAGCUCCCACCAUCACCACCUAAUAGUCAUCAGAAUGAUAGCAGUUUCCACGUAUUAAGUGUUACUCUUUAUCAGAGACUAUUCAAACGACAUCUUGUCAAAUCUGACAUCAGCCUAUUGAGACAUGUAGUUUUACUCUUAAAUAACUUCCCAAGAAUUACAUAAGUAAGAGGCUGAGCUAGGAUUUCCAAACCAGGUUUGUCAGAUCAUUUAAUUCCCAAGCUGGUGUUUCCAAGUUCUGUGAUAUUCUGCCAAGCGUAGUGGCUGAGAGAAAAAACCCUCCACGAGGAAAUUCCAAGCUUGCCUUGCUAAGAUUCGGCACUACCUGACGAAAAAGAACAAUUGCAAGGUCAUUUCAUCCCACCCUUUCAUUUCACUGAUGAAGGAGUUAAAGCCAAAAGGGAGAAAGUGAGCCAAACCUACGUUGCCCAGACAGUGGGUAGCUCAGCAUAACACCCAGCCUCACCCCAUUUCCCCUGCUGCCUGCAACCUCUCGGCCUCUCACUUUUCUAAAGAGCUUAUGAUAUGAUAUGCCGGACAGGAAUUGUUCAGUAUUGGAAAGCUUAGGCAGGAAGAAGGUGUGGGCACAAACGUAUAUCAUGCUUCAUGAUCACGCUGUAUAGGACACCAGGGACAUCCAGCUUCCCUGAAGUUUUACUUUCCUGAAAAGUUGUGCGUAAAUGAGAUGCUUGCUUUCCCUUUCCGGUAAGUCAGCCUCCCAUGGGUGAGUCAGCUUGGCUCAUGGCUGGAGUCUGUGCCAUGGCUUUGCCUUUGUGCUGGUUGUCAGUCGAUUGUAUGUAUAUGGAUUUUAGGAUAUACAGAUGAUAUAUACAUAUCAUCGCUUACUGUUUGACCUACCAUUGACUUUUAUACCAGAUAAUUCUUUGCCAUGGGCCUGUCUUGUGCGUUCUAAGAUGUUGAACAGCCUCCCACAUUUCUGCUCACUAGCUGCCAGUAGCACCUCUCUUCCCCCAGUUAUGACAACUGAAAAUGUUUUAAGACAUUGCAAAAUAUCCCCUGAGGAAGAAAACACCUGUAUUAGUCCAUUUUCACACUGCCAUAAAGAAAUACCCGAGACUGGGUAAUUUUUAAACAAGAGAGGUUUAAUUGAUUCACAGUUCCGCAUGGCUGGGGAGGCCUCGGGAAAUGUAUAAUCAUGGUGGAAGGCAAAGGGGAAGCAAGGCACUUUUUUCACAAGGUGGCAGGAGAGAAAGACAUAGCAACGGGGGAAGCACCAGACACUUAUCAAACAACCAAAUCUCGUGAGAACUCACUCACUGUCAUGAAAACAUCAUAGGGGAAACCGCCCCCAUGAUCCAAUCACCUCCACCCUUGACAUGUGGGGAUUACAAUUCAGAUGACAAUUCAAGAUGAGAUUUGAGUAAGGACACAGUCAAACUGUAUGAGGACCUCUAGCUGAUUUGGUCUCAUCUUCCUCUGAGUCCUUUGGUGAGGAGGGGAGUGCUAAUUGGCGUAGAGAGCAAAUAUCCAAAACUCCAGCUUGAAUCUAUAUUUUAAGGAUGCUCUGCCUGGGAUUUCAAAAUAUUUUUAUGGUUUCCAUGUAUUACAUCCCUGCAUGCCUGCUAUGUGUCCAACAGUAACUAAGUGUUUUAACUCAAUUGUUCCCCACAAGAAUCCUGCAGGACAGCUAUUACUGUUCCCAUAUGUAUUCCUUGCAGUUCUCCAGAGAAACAAAAUCAAUAAGGUGUGUGUGUGUGUGUGCGUGUGCGUGUGUGUGUGUGUGUGUGUACGUGUGUGUGUGUGUGUGUGUGUGUGUGUGUGUGUGUGUGCGCCACCCACCUGAGCCGGGUGAUAGAGGGAGAGAAUAGGCCUGAGUGCGUAUCUGCUUCAUCUGCUUGUUCAAGUUCGUUCCUGUGUGACAGAACUUUCUAAUCUCUUGUACUCACAAAGAGGGAAAUAUCACCCGUAGCUCUGUUUCCAGAAACCUUCAUAGCACCACCUCCCCGCACCCCUCUGCACCACCUGAUCCCUUACCCCCAGGUUUUCAGAGUCUGCAUGUGCAGCCAGGCCUCAGAGUUCUAGAACCCAGAGUGGAGAUGUAGAGAAUCCUACAAGCAGGCCUGAGUGUUAGAGCCGCCAGCAGGCUCAGACUCUCCUGCCAAAAGAUGGCUGCUAUUCCAGGGCCUGCACUGCAAAGAUGGGCAGGUCAAUGCAUGCCCAGCAGGGACAGAAGAAACACUGCCAUUGUACCAGCUGACUGAGGUGGGGAUGCUGGGAAGACAAGAUUAUUUUUCAGUAAAGUGCCUCGUUAGCCCAAAGUGAACAUUUGGUUUCCUCUACUUCACUGGAAUAUUUGACUUUGAAUCCAUGUUUACUUUCUACCUCUGAGUAGAUGUAUCCUGUGACUCUGUGACAAAUGACAUUUACAAAAAGAGGUUUUCAAUAUAUUUUUAGCAACAGAUAUCUUUCUUUAAAAUGAUAUAUUACACUAAACCCAAUAUAUAAAAUAUGUUUCGUAACUGAGUGAUUAACAUGUUCUUUGGUUGAUUUGAAUCUUUAUUUUUGAUGGUAAGCCUUUGUUAUUUUCAAAACCUCAGAAAUGCCUAACAGAAAACUUUAGAUUCUUUGGAGCAUGCUGUAAAAACCACUGAUAGAGUCCUCACUUUCUGAGGUGUUGGGGCUCUGAAUGAGGAGAAUUCACCACUCUCAUCUUUAACAAUGUGAAAUGAAGAUGGCAGAAGGGAAUCACAGCAUUUCAUGGUAUUUUACUGAUAACAUUUGAAUAGGAGGUAGGUAGCUUUGUAUAUUGGAAAGAGAAAGAAUCGUGCAGAAAAAACAAAGGUCAGGACCCUGUGUUCUAGUUUUGGCUCUACGGAGUGUUGGCUCUAACCGUUUGACAAUUGGCACUCACCGUGUGCCACUGGAGAAGGCCCUUCUUGUCUGUAGAUGCAGAUCCUCCAUUUGCAAGCAUCACCUCACCUGAACGUCUAGGCUGCUGCUCAAUGUGUUGGCCCAAAAUGCUGCACUAUCACAAAACUCUAAGGGUACACUCAGUGUGCCACAAAAUAGACCCACGCCCUCUACACACCCAAAUGUAUAUAUUGAUACUAAGUUGUACAGGGUGAUUCCAUACAAAGCAAUGGAAAUGAAUUGUUAGAAGAUUUCCCGUGGUUACAUGAGGUACAGCAGAGUAGCAAGUGUGGCCACAGUUACAAGUGCCAGCCUGGAGCUAGCCCUAUAUUUUAGUCCUGACUGUAUCAAUUACUGGUUAUGUGAUCCCAGACAAGCUACCUACCUUCUUGCCUUCUCCAUAAUAAAAUGGAAACAGCAUGGCAGUGACCUCCGAGGCUGCUAAGUGAGUUGAUUUACACAGCACCAUGGGAAAGCCCUCAGGCUUUGACUGUUCCCAGACCUGAAUGCAAAUUCUUUUCUUCCACAAAUAAGCAAAGUACUUUGUAAACCUCAAUUUUCUCAUUUGUCAAAUAAGGAUAACUAUUAAAUCAAAUAAUAUUUGUAAGACACUUUAGUUAGAACUGUACUUGUGAUAUAAUGAACACCUCCCCAAAAAAUGAUGUGGUCAAGUGUAAAGAUACUUGGAAGCAAACAGUGAGAGUUAUAGAUGAAGAAGAGCCCAGCUCGAGAACGAGGACUCGGCUUUCACUCUGCCUAUGCCCCGUGUCCUGGGUGACAUCAGGAAUGCUCUUCUCUUUCUGAACCAAAGUCUCUCCGUCUGUAUAAGAAAAAUGGUGCACUCCACAAUCAGAUUCUGAUAUUCUCUGGUUUUGUGGUGGACUCUUUCCUUCCAGCCACAGCUUCAUGGAGGGAUGUGGGAAUCAGUGUCAAGCACCACAACUCAAAUGUCUUUAGAAUUAGGCAUCAGGCAUCUUCAGAGUGAUAUGACCAUCUUGAGUCACAUUUUUCUCAAGACGGUUACAAAAUUGAUCUAUUAAAUAUGAAAGAAUAUUCUUCACAUCCUCAAAAAAAUGUGAUCACUCUCAUUUUUCUUGAACCACUGACAGCCUCAAAUUUGGAGACACUAUCCGGAGAGGAGGCACCCUGAAUAAAUGGGACACUUAUGUGCCAUCUGAAAUAGCAUCUGUAUUCAGCAAAAGUUCGUUGCCAGAACAGAAUGAAGGCCCAGUGCUACUAAAUAUCGCAAAUUUUCAAGAAAAGAUGGAAAUCAGAUUUCUGUGUGUGUGAAAUCUUGGGGUCAUUAUAAGAGAUAGCAAAGAAUUCAAGAUUUUUUUAAAAAGCAAUACUUUUGCAAUCUGCAGGUUCAGUUCAUGGGUAGCAUUUUGCCAUUUCAGGUGUGACCAGUUCCUAAAACAUAGCAGCAGGUGUUGGAUAAUGGGGUCUGAUGCUCCUUUACCUCCAUCCCACAAAAAGGAGGAUUCACAGACAAGGCCUUAGGCCAAACAGAAUGCAGGAUCUUCACUCCAGAUCAUGCAUGCUUAUCACAUUUGGUAGGACCAGAGUGAGUAUCUGACCUACAAACAGCUCUCCAUGGCCAUUGUUUUCAAACUUUAAGAUCUAUAGAAAUCACUUGGGAAUAAAAUCAUCUGGGGAGUUUGGGUAAGAUGUCUCAGGAUCCACCCACAGAACUUCUGCCCCAUCAAGUCUGAAGUGGGCCUCAGGAAUCUGCCCAGAUGGUUUCUUAGCCACACUUGGGGAAACUGAUCUCAGGUUUAGCCAGGUGCCAAUGGCUGUAGAAAUUCUGCCCAAUAUGGAGACUCACUGCUAGUGGGUGAUCAGCUGAACCAAUUGCUGCACUGAAGGGGAACAGACUGAAGAGUUCUGAUUUGCCUUUUCUGGGGAGCAUGGACAUAGACACACUCAUGUUACUCACUUACUAGAAGUUUAUUUUUAAAAUGCGCAGAGAAGUAAGGAAACCAUCUGAGCUGCAGAAAUCAUCUGAACUGCAGAAUCAAACCCCAUGGAGUCCACAAAAUUGUUCCACCAUUGGAAUGUUUUUCACUCUUGUCUCAUCUGUCCAGAAGCAUUGGACUUCUGUGUUUCUGCCUCUUCUGAUCAUGAGCGUUAUUCUUAUGCCUUACCCUUUUCUCUUGCUCUCCAAGAGAAAAGGUCUGAUUGGUUCAACCAGUCACCUGUCAGAGCACAGUGUUCCUGUGGACAAAGCAUGAACACCUCAGAGGCUGCUGGCCAGUCCAUAGCUAGUAGGCUUUGGGUCAAGCUAUUCUGUAUUGCAUCAGCUGUAGCCAGGAUGCCAAAGUCAGGUGAUGCUAAGCAUCCCAAACUGUGGGUCGGGAACCUCCCAGAGAAAGGCUAGGGGAUGGUAGGCUCCUGGCAUGACUAACUGCUAUGAUAUGGUGGUGGAGAAAGGUAACCAAAAUAGGCAAAGAAAGAGAAGCUCCAUGAGUAUGAAGAGACAGAUGUCCCAAUAAGAGCACUAUACCUUGGCUGGUGACAGAUGCUAGGCAGGGAGAACAGACCAGCAUAGUUGGGGAGUCUGCAAGUCCUGAGUUCUUAUCCCAGCUCCACCAUUCUCUGACUGUGUAGCCUUUGGUAAAUUUCUCAGCCUCUCUGAACUGGAGCUUCCCAGUCUUUGAAAAUGAUUAUAAUGUCUCACAAAGGGGUUUUGAGAGUUAAAUGAAAUACUGGGUAUAAAGCCUUUAGUACAAAGCCUAGACUAAAACAAAAGAUAAUAUUUCUUUUAAAAGAGAAAAAAAGAAACCUACAGAGAGUUUCUCUUCUCAGAAUACAUCCUCAGAGAAGAACAGAACAACAUUGCAAGAGGAAACCCAAGUUCUGUGGAAACAUGAGCUAUUGUUGUUAUUCUCCAAGCAUAUAAAGUAGAUGUGGAUUAAAGGUGGAAUUUGGGGUGCUGGAGGCUGGAAAGAAAAAGAGCAUGAGAUCAGUAGGACACCUGUGGAUGUGUCCCCACUCUGUCAUUUUUGUAACUAACUCUGUAACCAGCCAAAAACAGGGCCCUUCCUAUGUCUGGGCUUCACUUUCCCCAUUUGUAAAAUGAGGGGGUUGGGUCAUCUGACUUCAGAGCGUACAUCUAUCGCUAAAGCUCCAGAAUCUCAAAAGUAUCAAGAAUGGCAGAAGAAGAAGAAAAAUCAAAGAUCUAGUCAACUGACCCCAGAUUCUAGGAGGGCUGGGUUUUUUUUGUUUGUUUGUUUUUUGUUUUUUUUUUUUGCUUUGUUUUGUUUGGGGUAACGCAUUCUGAAAGGUAACUUUAGGCUGGAAUAACAGAUUUUCUGGGAUAAGAAGGUUCAGGUGGAACCCAGGGAUGGUCUUCAAGAACCUUGAGGGGAUGUGCAGCUGGAAGCAGAUGGCUCUGUGUGAACUGAGGUUGCAAGGCAGGCCCCACCCCGUUUUAGGAGUGACCAAUCUGACAAGCAGAGGAGUCUUCCCCACAUGCUUCAAAACACAUUCUCGAGCUUCAUUCAGGUCUCUAUUCAAAUAUCACCUCCUCAGGUCUCUACUCCUAACCCUCACCCUAAUUCAAUGCCUGUCUCUAUCCAGUAUAAAAUGUCACCUCUGUCACUCUCUAGUCCCUCACCUGUGUCUGCCUUUCACACUGCCCUACAGGCCAUCAUAUGUUGUCUGACUCCCUCCAGGGAAUGUCAGCACCACUAGAGCAGAACACUUGUUUUCUUCAACUGCUGAAUCCUCAGCUCUUAAAACAGGGCUUUAAACAUAGCAGAUUCUCCAUAGAUAUUUGUGAACCUCUCCCUGCAAAAAAAAAAAAAAAAAAAAAAAGAAAGUCCUACAGUCAGUCAGUAUAAUAUUCUCCUUUGUCCUGGUGAACAGAACCUGAAAUUAAAUACUUCAUUUCUAAUUGUAAACAUUCAGAACUCAACCUGUUGAAGAGGAAAGAAAAUGAAGGAGCAGACGAUAGUUCCCUUAUUACUGAAAAAUUUCCCCUCUAUACUAAAAACUUCCCCUUCCCUGCCCAGGGAAGGCAGGGAAGAUCAUGUGGGGAUCUGAGCUGAGAACGGGGGCUCUCUUCUGCAACAUAUUCUAAGCUGUGAAGGAUCUCCCCUUUAUUCUGGAGGCCCUGUGCUGGCCUUGGAUGGGGCUUUGAAGGCCUGAAUAUUCAGGAACUGUCCUGAAAUUUCCCCUCUUCCGUAUCCAGCAGGCCUGCCACUUUCAGGAACUGUCAAUUGUCCAGGGAAUAUAAACAAAAGAACAAAGGCAAAGUUGGCUCAUUGAAAGAGAAAAAAUCUCAGAUUGAACUGAAUAUAUAACCCACUGGGAAUUUAAACACCAGAGUGGUAUGUAGGAGGAACAUGAUUACAAACUCUGGGGAAAGGUCCCAAGAAACCAAAGAAAUUCCAUCCUGGUUCUCAGCUCCUAUUCAUAAGAAUUUCAUAGAAAGGGAACGAGUCUCCAGAGCUUGAGCUUCUAGCAUAGCAACCCCGCUGUCAGUUGCCUCUGUUUGCUCUGAGAUAUCAGAAGGGAGACUCCAAGCAAGCUGGCUUUGAUAUAUCUAAAUAUAGUCUCUUUUCCGAGAGUACAGUGCAGCAAGCAAGAAGUCCUGGGGCCAGGAUGGCAUCUGGCAUUUUUACUUUAUGGGCUGCAUGACUUUUGGCACGUUCCUUUCCCUCUGCAGGCCUCAAUUUCUCCCUCCAUUGCGAAAGAAAUCCAGGCAGCAUUUGAGCUCCUUUUUCUCUGUUCCUUCAAACUUCGUUGUCUGAGGCCUCCAAGGCUUCAUUGUAUUUUCGUGACGUGUCCUCUUCAUCCUCUAUACUUCCUUUUCUGUUUGCAAAGAUACUGUUCCUGGCUUAAUGUGGAAUUGAACCCCAGAAUGCAGAACAGCUCUGAGUCUCAGUCAUAGACACCUAGGAGGACUCUCACUGCUGGUCAGACAAGUGCCUGGACUUUGGGUCACCAUCCCUCUCUCUUUUGACACCACUGCCUGUUUUGCCAAGUUCCCCUCCAUGGCAUGUGACAAUGUGAUGUCCCAAGGGAGAAAAGCUGCCCAAGAAGGGCCCUGACUCCUUGGCAUUGGGUGAGAAGGUGGUGUUCUCCCAGCAUAUGACUGAGGCUACAAGGGGAUGCUUGCCUGCUGAGCACCAUCACUUUCCUUGCUUAGAAAAUGGAAAUAAAAAGAACCCUGUUCAUCUCAAAAGACUUUAUGGGAAUCAGAUGAGAAGAGGUUCUGGGGAAAACUUUGAUUUGCUAUUUAGACACUUGAGUCCAAGAUUCUCAGCCACUGCUUUGACCUCCUACCUCUCCGGCAUGCUAUCUCUUCACUUCACCCACCCUGGUAGCCUCUCCAGCAAUAACAGAGCAGCUCACAGUAUGGGCUCUGGAGUCGCACUGCUGGGAGUUUCCCACUGGCUCUACUCUCACCAGCUGUGUGAUCUUAGGCAUGUUAACUCCCCUCUCUGAUCUACAGUUUUCUCAUUUGAAAGUGGGGAUAAAACAGAAUCUACCUCAAGCGUUGCUGUGAGAUAAUGUAUGAAAUGCACCUGGCACAGCACCUAAGAUGCAUUUCUACUGCUAUUAUUUCUUUGAAGAUUCACAGUCUGUUACACUAAUAGGAUCAGUGGGAGGCUGAAUAUAACUAAUGUGACCCGUAGGCAUCCUGAACACGGGCAACUUAGUCGAGGUGUGGUCCACAGACCUUUGGCAGUCCUCCACAUCCUUUCAAGAGGUCCACAAUGCCAAAAUUAUUUUCAGAGUCAUACUACUUGGCCUUCUUCCACUGCGUUGACAUUUGCACUGAUGGUGCAAAAGCAAAUGUGCCCAACUGUGCAAGUGGUCAUUGUAUUCUUUACCCUGAUGCAUGCCCGGUGGGGGUGGGGGGGAGCCAAUUUCAUUUAACAAUGUCUUUUAUUAAGCAGUAAAUAUUGUUAUUUUUAUUAAAUUUUGACCCCAUUUUUACUUGAAAGAAUGACUAACAGACAAAUUAUGAUUAUUCAGAUGUGGGCACGUGGCAGAUAUUUCCACAGAAAUGAAUGAAGUAAGCCUGUUGCUUCAAGAAAAAUCACUACUGAUAUUUGUUGCCAAUGACAAAAUUCAAGCUUUCAAGUAAAUUUUAGAAAGCUUAUAUCUGCCACCGCAAACUUGUCAGCUUCCCAAUAAUUGAAGAUAUUGUAAAUAAGAUUUAUAGUAAUAUUAAUUAAUGUGAUUUUUUUGUAUUGUAGAAUGAAAUAUAUCAACAUUUGGAAGACCUGCCUAACUCAUAUUUUUCCAAUGAUUAAUGUACGAUGUUACAAAAUCAUGCCAGGGUAAAAGAUGCUUUUAAAGUGUAAGUUGGACCAAUGAAUUAUAAAUAAUCAACUAAGGAAAAGUUCCUUGAUAAGGUUCCAGAUUUUGCAUUGCAACUAACCUUUCAGAAACUGCCACAACGUUUCAUGUAAUAUCAAAGAAGAAUAUCCAUUGCUAUUUGAGAUGGCCAUUAAAAUAGUCCCUCUUUUUCCAGCUAUGCCUCUGAGUGAGGCCAGAUGUUAUUUACAUACUUUAACAAAAGAUCUCAUUGCAAUAGAUUAAAUGCAGAAUCAGAUGAGAAUCAGGCUAACUUCUAUUAAGCCAGAUGUUGAAGAAAUAAGCAAAUGUAAAAUAAUGCCAUUUUCUGAAUAUUAUUUUUCGUCUUUGAAAAUUUUUCAUCAGGAGAUGUUAAUUAUGUUCCCAUGUCAGGUUUUAUUUUUGUUACUUUUAAAUGAAUUAAAGCAAUAUUUUAAAUUUUA